AUUGAACGCUGGCGGCAGGCCUAACACAUGCAAGUCGAGCGGAUGAGAGGAGCUUGCUCCUCGAUUCAGCGGCGGACGGGUGAGUAAUGCCUAGGAAUCUGCCUAGUAGUGGGGGACAACGUUUCGAAAGGAACGCUAAUACCGCAUACGUCCUACGGGAGAAAGUGGGGGAUCUUCGGACCUCACGCUAUUAGAUGAGCCUAGGUCGGAUUAGCUAGUUGGUAGGGUAAAGGCCUACCAAGGCGACGAUCCGUAACUGGUCUGAGAGGAUGAUCAGUCACACUGGAACUGAGACACGGUCCAGACUCCUACGGGAGGCAGCAGUGGGGAAUAUUGGACAAUGGGCGAAAGCCUGAUCCAGCCAUGCCGCGUGUGUGAAGAAGGCCUUCGGGUCGUAAAGCACUUUAAGUUGGGAGGAAGGGCUCAUAGCGAAUACCUGUGAGUUUUGACGUUACCAACAGAAUAAGCACCGGCUAACUUCGUGCCAGCCGCCGCAGUAA
rnacentral:rRNA from 1 species